AUGCAAACACCGGUUCUCAUUACGAUCACCGAAGUUAAGCAACGUCAAAGUUCGUCAGUACCUAGAUGUGUGAUCGCUUGAAAAUACCCGGUGUUGUAUG